GCAAUCGCCGCGGGAAUACGGAGGGGGCUAGCGUUGUUCGGAAUUACUGGGCGUAAAGCGCACGUAGGCGGCUUGGUAAGUUAGAGGUGAAAGCCCGGAGCUCAACUCCGGAAUUGCCUUUAAGACUGCCGAGCUAGUAGGUGAGAGAGGUAAGUGGAAUUCCGAGUGUAGAGGUGAAAUUCGUAGAUAUUCGGAAGAACACCAGUGGCGAAGGCGGCUUACUGGCUCAUUCUAGACGCUGAGGUGCGAAAGCGUGGGGAGCAAACAGGAUUAGAUACCCCGGUAGUCCCUGUCUCUUAUAC
rnacentral:rRNA from 1 species